rnacentral:rRNA from 1 species
UACGUAGGUGGCAAGCGUUGUCCGGAAUUAUUGGGCGUAAAGCGCGCGCAGGCGGUCUCUUAAGUCUGAUGUGAAAGCCCCCGGCUCAACUGGGGAGGGUCACUCGAUACUGAUCGACUCGAAGGCAGGAGAGGGAAGCGGAAUUCCCGGUGUAGUGGUGAAAUGCGUAGAUAUCGGGAGGAACACCAGUGGCGAAGGCGGCUUUCUGGCCUGUUCUUGACGCUGAGGCGCGAAAGCUAGGGUAGCAAACGGG